CCGGUGUAGCGGUGAAAUGCGUAGAUAUCGGGAAGAACACCAGUGGCGAAGGCGCUCUGCUGGGCCAUCACUGACGCUCAUGGACGAAAGCCAGGGGAGCGAAAGGGAUUAGAUACCCCUGUAGUCCUGGCCGUAAACGAUGAACACUAGGUGUCGGGGGAAUCGACCCCCUCGGUGUCGUAGCCAACGCGUUAAGUGUUCCGCCUGGGGAGUACGCACGCAAGUGUGAAACUCAAAGGAAUUGACGGGGGCCCGCACAAGCGGUGGAGUAUGUGGUUUAAUUCGAUGCAACGCGAAGAACCUUACCAGGGUUUGACAUCCUGCGAAUCUCUUGGAAACGAGAGAGUGCCUUCGGGAGCGCAGUGACAGGUGGUGCAUGGCUGUCGUCAGCUCGUGUCGUGAGAUGUUGGGUUAAGUCCCGCAACGAGCGCAACCCACGUCUUUAGUUGCCAGCAUUUAGUUGGGCACUCUAGAGAGACCGCCGGUGAUAAACCGGAGGAAGGUGUGGAUGACGUCAAGUCAUCAUGCCCCUUACAUCCUGGGCUACACACGUACUACAAUGCUACGGACAAAGGGCAGCAAGUUCGCGAGGACAAGCAAAUCCCAUAAACCGUGGCUCAGUUCAGAUCGUAGGCUGCAACUCGCCUACGUGAAGGAGGAAUCGCUAGUAAUCGCAGGUCAGCAUACUGCGGUGAAUACGUUCCCGGGCCUUGUACACACCGCCCGUCACACCAUGGAAGUUGGCCACGCCCGAAGCCGUUACUCCAACCCUUGUGGAGGAGGACGUCGAAGGUGGGGCUGAUGACUGGGGUGAAGUCGUAACAAGGUAACCGUA
rnacentral:rRNA from 1 species